rnacentral:piRNA from 1 species
UGUCUGUAUGGUGUCCUCACUUCUCC